rnacentral:misc_RNA from 1 species
GAUGAAGAACGCAGCGAAAUGCGAUAAGUAAUGUGAAUUGCAGAAUUCAGUGAAUCAUCGAAUCUUUGAACGCACAUUGCGCCCCUUUGUAUUCCGAGGGGCAUGCCUGUUCGAGCGUCAUUAUAACCCCUCAAGCUCAGCUUGGUGUUGGGGCCUGCUGCACUGGCAGCCCUUAAAAUCAGUGGCGGCGCCAUCUGGCUCUAAGCGUAGUAAUUCUUCUCGCUAUGGAGUCCUGGUGGAUGCUUGCCAUCAACCCCCAAUUUUUCUAUGGUUGACCUCGGAUCAGGUAGGGAUACCCGCUGAACUUAAGCAUAUCAAUAAGCGGAGGA